rfam:Coccidioides immitis RMSCC 3703 supercont1.143 genomic scaffold, whole genome shotgun sequence.
ACAUACGACCAUAGGAAGUGGAGAACAGGGCUUCCCGUCCGCUCAGCCGUACUUAAGUCACUUGCCGGCCGGCUAGUAGUUGGGUGGGUGACCACCAGCGAAUCCCGGCUGUUGUAUGUU